UACGUAGGGUGCAAGCGUUAAUCGGAAUUACUGGGCGUAAAGCGUGCGCAGGCGGUUUUGUAAGUCAGAUGUGAAAUCCCCCGGGCUUAACCUGGGAACUGCGUUUUGAAACUACAAGGCUAGAGUGUGGCAGAGGGGGGUGGAAUUCCACGGUGUAGCAGUGAAAUGCGUAGAGAUGUGGAGGAACACCGAUGGCGAAGGCAGCCCUGGGUUAACACUGACGCUCAGGCACGAAAGCGUGGGAGCAAACAGG
rnacentral:rRNA from 1 species